rnacentral:rRNA from 1 species
AUGGGACCCACCUGUCAUUCUCUGUUUAGGUUAAUUAGGGUUUAUCUAAUUAAUUACUCCGUCGUUGUCGCGGGGCAGGGGCGGCCGUCGGCUAGCAGUGGUGGGGCACGAUUGGGGAUGCGCACAGGGGUGCGACGAGGCCGGACGUCAGCGCGGGGAGCAGAGGGGGGUGAAAGGCAGACGCGAGGGGCGCUUAGGCGAGCGCUUGCCCGCAGGAGCUCUGUUUCCCGCUCCGGUUGUACUGCACGUGUGAGCGGUCGUACCGCUCAGUCCUUGGGCGGUACUACCCGCCUUUGUACUGCUUCUCAAUACACUAGAUCAAACAUUCCAUAUCAUCAUCCUACCAAAAAAACGGAUCUGGAUAUAAAUAUACCUGCAGUUCUUCUGCCAAAAGAUGCAGGCACCAUUUUACAGGGUCUUUUCUCACUUGGUAAAGUGUCAGUGCAGUUAUACUCUCCAGAUCGACCCCUAGUUGAUACGGCUGAGGAUGGCCAUGAAAGUUCAGUUAACAUUGAUGCCGAAGGUUCUACUGGUAUGGUAGAUAUCACCAUGACAUCGGCAAUGCUGUUUAUUGUGGUUGCAUCACUGUUUUUGGUAAUGCUUUACAAAUUGAUGUCUCACUGGUUUGUGGAGCUCCUGGUGGUUAUAUUUUGCAUUGGUGGUGUAGAGGGUUUGCAAACAUGUUUGGUGGCUUUAUUGUCAAGAUGGUUCAAACCUGCCGCAAAAUCAUUUGUAGAAGUGCCAUUUUUUGGAGCUGUUUCAUACCUUACAUUGGCAGUUUGUCCAUUUUGCAUCGUCUUUGCUGUUUUAUGGGCUGUUUAUCGUAUCGCACUGAUUGUUACUGUGAUCCAGAUUGUGAGGAUACCUAACCUUAAGGUGGAGUCUGUUCUUCUGGGCUGCUCCUUCCUCUAUGACAUCUUCUGGGUUUUCAUAUCCAAGAUGUUGUUUCAUGAGAGCGUGAUGAUUGUGGUUGCACGUGGUGAUAAUACUGACGAAGAUGGUGUACCCAUGCUGUUAAAGAUCCCACGCAUGUUUGAUCCAUGGGGUGGAUACAGCAUCAUAGGCUUUGGUGAUAUCCUUCUUCCAGGACUGCUGGUUGCUUUUGCGCUAAGGUACGAUUGGGCUGCCAGGAAGACCUUACAAUCUGGUUACUUUCUGUGGUCAAUGGUUGCGUAUGGCUCUGGUCUUCUGAUCACCUACAUUGCCUUGAAUCUCAUGGAUGGCCACGGGCAACCGGCUCUUCUUUACAUCGUGCCCUUCAUGCUUGGAACUUUCAUAUCACUCGGUAAAAAGCAGGGCAAGCUCAGGAACCUGUGGAUGAAAGGACAGCGUCCGAGAGUCUGCAUGCACUCGCAUCAUCCUCUGAAGGGCUCUGCGGACUCCGCCUCUCAUGUAAUCUCAUCAUAG